UAUUUCAUUCUUUCAUUCCCUUUUUAUCGAGAAUGAGGAUUCAAAAUCCAAUGAAACCCUAACGCCCAAAAUUCUAAUUCCUACUCAAUCAUUACCCACUUAUUCAUCAUCGACUUCAUCUUCUUCCUAAAAAUAUUACUCGACAAAGAUCCUUUAUUUUUCUUAUUAAUUAAUGAAGGAACAUCAGAAUAUUUGAGGCUUUGUUCUUGCUACAUCAAUAUGUCAACAGUUGCGGUUACAGAUGCAAAGUAGAUGUUUGCUACAUCAAUGGGAUUAGAAGGUAAUGACUGAUGUUCAAGCAGUUGAGAGGAAUAGAUUGGAGGAACCUGCUUUUGAAAUCGGUUUGGAAUCCCUAUGUGUAAUGCGAAAGUGCUUUCUCAUGGAGAACGGAAUAUGAGAACGUGAUUUGGCAAUAUGGUCAGUGAACAAUAUGAUGAAGAAGUGCAGUCUUAUAAUAUCAUUCAAUUUUAUAUAUAUUUUCUGCUACUAGCAACAGCAAUUUUUAUUUGUGUUGAGUUUGGUGGAGAUUUUAUACUUAAGUCUCUUAUUGAAGGUCCCUGUUGAUCCAUGUCCAGAAAGUAUAAUAGAUCCCUUGUGCAAAUAGUGACCAGGAACGAGCAACACAAGGACUACUACUGUCAUUUCAAAGUAUUGAGAUAUGCAAGGCAUAUAUCUGUGGAGACUAGUCGCGAGAUAUUAGAUGGUCUUGGGAAGGCAAACAACUAUUACUUGGACGUUUAUCCAGAGAUAAAGUGGAUCUUCAGACAUUUUUCCGUGUGGAAGGCUUCAUCAAGAUCAAGAGUUGGAGAAAUUUUAAUGCGCAUUUGUUGUAUUGUAUUAUAGCUAGUAUUUGAUAAUAUUAGCUAUUAGACCAAAUGGUGCUAGCUAUUGGAUUCAAAAAGUUUACCUUUUUGGUUAUGUAGUUGGCACUAUGAAAUUAUGGAUUAGUAGUUGGUUUGCUUAGGAUUUAAUGUAGUGUAUUGAGC